GACGAACGCUGGCGGCGUGCUUAACACAUGCAAGUCGAACGGAAAGGCCCCUUCGGGGUUACUCGAUUGGCGAACGGGUGAGUAACACGUGAGUAACCUGCCCUUGCCUUCGGGAUAACUUCAGGAAACUGGGGCUAAUACCGGCUAGGAAUCCUUGCUGCAUGGUGGGGGUUGGAAAGCUUCGGCGGUUUUGGAUGUACUCGCGGCUUAUCAGCUUGUUGGUGGGGUAGUGGCUUACCAAGGCUUUGACGGGUAGCCGGCCUGAGAGGGCGAACGGCCACAGUGGGACUGAGAUACGGCCCAGACUCCUACGGGAGGCAGCAGUGGGGAAUAUUGCACAAUGGGCGGAAGCCUGAUGCAGCAACGCCGCGUGCGGGAUGACGGACUUCGGGUUGUAAACCGCUUUCAGCAGGGGCGAAGCUUGUGGUGACGGUACCUGCAGAAGAAGCACCGGCUAACUACGUG
rnacentral:rRNA from 1 species